UCUGCGCCAAAGCAAAAAAGCGAGAAAAGAGGGCCACGGGAACCGAAGAAGGUGCAGCUGCUGCCCAGAGACCCCAGAAAUAUUCGAAUUUUCCGUGACCGCGAGGACCCAGACACGCAGCGUCCACUGACCGUGUCCUUGUUCGUGAAUAGGAAAAGCGGACCAGCCGUGUUUCGUCCUUCAAUUGACGCGAGUGUUGUGCGUGUUGUGCAUUAUUGAGUGUCCCAGCAAACCGUGCGUGCGUUGAGUAGAUUUUCCGGGCUCGCGGGAAGCGCGGACACACCUCCCCUGGGGUGAGGUACUUCUUGGAAGAUUCGGCAAGGUGUACAGUGCUGGGAACCCCCCCCCCCUCCUCCUCCUCCUCACCAUCGUAUCCGGUGACGAUAACAGCAGCAACAACAGAGGCAGGUGCAGCGCGAGUGCGGUAACGGCCAGGAGCACGAGCAUAGUUUGGCAUAACAUCUGCUAGAGGAAUAUCUUAUCACAAAAUGGAUAAAAGAAAAUUAUCAACAUCCGGCGAUACGCUGUAUCAAACCCUGGGACUGCAGAAAACGGCUACAGCGGAUGAAAUCAAGAAAACGUACCGAAAGCUUGCGCUGAAGUAUCACCCAGACAAGAACCCAAACAACCCAGACGCAGCGGAAAAGUUCAAAGAGGUUAACCGGGCUAAUUCCAUCUUGAGUGAUCUAACGAAGAGGAACAUCUACGACAACUAUGGUUCGCUUGGGUUGUACAUCGCGGAGCAGUUCGGAGAGGAGAAUGUCAACGCCUACUUCGUCGUUACUUCACCGACAUGCAAGGCGUUGUUUAUGAUUUGCGGUAUUAUAACGGGAUGUUAUUGCUGCUGCUGUUGCUGCUGCUGCUGUAACUUCUGUUUCGGAAAGUACAAACCGGUGCCACCGGAGAACGCCGGCGAUUACCAUCAUUUGCACAGAGGAGAUGGUGGUGCCAGUAGUAGCAACGCAGGGGAUGCCACGGCCGUCACUGAACAGCCAUCGCGAAGAGAGGAUUUGGCCGAUCUGGACGAUAAUGGUGGUGGCAGCAGCGGUGGACCGGUUACAGCGCAACCCCAGGCCGGCCAGGCACAGGGGGCCGGCAUGCCCGUGUACGCGAUGCCUCCGCCAUCGGCGAACCCAACGAAUCCGUUCACCGGAUCGACCGCUACCGAAAGCACAGGUCUCAACACGGGCAAUCAGCCAGUGUAUACGCCUGGACGUUAAAAACAAAUUCAUAUUUCGGAUUCCCGCUGUCUACCCACGGCUUAAUGCUCUAUAAUAUACACACAAUUUACUACGUGCGGAAAGCAUAAUGGGGUAAUUGAUGUCCCUCCACUACGUUCGUUUGUUUGUCUGCAGAUUUGCUACAAUUUUGAAACACUCGCGAGAUAGUGCUUAGCCCCCCAAAAGCUCCUCAUAUCUUCAGUUUACGCAACACCACAACUGUUGUUGCGAAUUGCUUGUACAUCCUUUACCAACAUCCGUUCGUCAAACCGUUCCUGAAAUGAGAAAACGUAAUUUGAUGACCUCGUAUUAGAUAUCGCCGUAUGAAAUGAAGAUAAUAAGCAUCGCCAUUAAAAUCCUGCUCCGUACGAGAUACCGGUUCGAACGAAUGAUCGAUGAUCAUCAUCCCUAAGGCAUUACUUGUUCGCUCGCCCGCUCGCAGCAGCAACAUACCAACAACACACAACACACUCCCAUUACAACACUCGUGUUUGCACGUAUCGGAUCUGAUGCACCGGAACCUGUGCAGCGCUACAAUAUGAAGUAACAAUAAUAAGAAAUCGUAAAAAAGAGCUAGCAUACUUCCCCUCGCCGACGACGAUGGUGGCUGGUGGUGUCCUUUCGCAAGACACACAUACACAUACAACACGACACACUGGAACAUGUGUCGUGACCGAAAGACAAAUUGUAGUUUACCGUUUUUAAGAAAUAUUUAUACUUUGCCACCAUGCAGACACGAAGCAGCAGCAGCUUUUUAGGCCUCCCUUUCUCUAGCAAACCCGGCAACACGAGCUAGAAUCGCAUGGCUGGCAAGUUGUGCUGCUGUUCGCUGCAGUGACCAUUGUGCGUGUAUGUGUGUGUGUGUCUGCAUGCCAGUAUGUGUGUGUGUGUGUGUUUGUUAGUAUUUCAUUCUUAAAUACUGAUAGCACCGGAAUAGGGAGCAGAAAUCAAACAUAAAAAAACCCUUCCUACUUCCUUUCGACUUCGGACUUUUGCAAUCAUUCGCCGUUGGUGCGAAACGAAUUAUUAUUGAUCCAGUAUCGCUCGAUGUUUUUAGUGAAAACGGUAUAACAAAUCAAUAGAACUGUAUCGGAAGUAAUUGUGAGGAGCAAAGGUUGGAAGCAAAACAGAAUUUCCUCAACACAAUUGAAAACAAACAGCACAUGAAUGAAGGUGGUGAGUUGUUUGUGGCACGAAUUUCAUUUAAUGUUGUGCUCACCAAAGGGAAAAGAACAAACAGAUUCAACUCCAAAAGAUGGAAUAGGUCGAUUAGUAAGCGUUAAGGUGCAGUGGGUAGCAGCGAGAGUACUACGUGGAGCGAGAACAACAAAAAAAAACAAUAAAAAACAACACUUUUACCCUAAUUUAUUGAGUGUUACAAACAUUUUCAAAGUUCUGCAAUUACUCAUUCAAUUCCGGCAAGCAAGAAUAAUAUGUUAAGUAAUUAGGAACGUUGCUAGGUCAGACGUCGCAGAAUUACUCGAGACAAACGCGAGAGAAAGCGAAGAGCACGUGGUAGUUUGAAAGAGUAUCAAGUAUUUAAGCUUGUUAAGUUGUUCCGUGUAGCAACGUGUGUCUCGACGUGUAAUGGCUGAACAUACAAAAAAGUAUAUAUAUAUACAUAUAAAGUGACGUGGGUGAAAGUCGAACCUUAACAAAAGAAUAGUAUAUAUAUUAUAUAUACACAAAGACACACUCUCACUCAUAUGAACAAUGCAUCUAUAUCUUAUACCCAUUUGUCCCAACAAUUUCCUAAUUCACUCGAUAUGCGCACGACAUUGUUAGAGAGAGAGAGGGGUAGGAUCAGCCAGGAGGAGCGAGGUGGGACGGAUGCUGUUGAUGUUAGUAAAGGACUACUGUUAGAAGUAGUGCAGUGGAGAAACGGCGAAGACGGACGGACGCGUACAGACAGGACACAGGACAGGGAUUCACGAUGGGCGGCGGCAGGUGCGUGCUUAGGCCCCGUUUAUAUAUUGUAAAAAUAUAUGAAAUUGAAAACCAAGGAGUAAAAUUAUAAACAUUAAAGCUUACCUUUUGACCGUGCAAAGAUAGGGAGAAAAGGGCGGAAAGUGAGAGCGAAAGACACUACUUUAACCAUCUUAACGAAAAAAUAAACGACCUGAACGACGAAACCUUCAUUGCCACGUUAUGCAAAGU